GAGGGUUUGGGGCUGCAUGGAGCCACAGGAACUAAUCCCUUAGAUCUGACACCGUGAUUAGUAGAUGUUUCAUUGCCGGUAUUGUAUGGAGCCAGCUGUUUCUGAGUCAUAGGAGUCACUUAUUAAAAAGAACGUGUUGUUCCAGUCAUACAUGACCUUCUGGAGAAUCUAAUACCGUAGUUUGACGUUUUCUAGCUGUGAUGUCAAGAACUUGGAGAUCACAUCAUGAAAUUGACGGGCCAGUCAAAAAGACAUACAUGUAGCAGUUGCUACUGAAAGAUAGAAUCAAUCAAAGAUUUGAUCUUACUUCUCUGUUGUCAGUAGGGCAGAAUGAGAACUGUGACAUUACAGUAGGAGGUUGCUGGUAUGUGGUGUUUGAACCAGAAGAUGAUACUUCUCUUCCUCCUGCUUGUACUGGACCCUCUCCUCUCUAUACAACCAGCCACUCCCUUUACUAUAGUUUGUUGUAUUUUAUCAAAAUUUUUAUUUUGAUUUAGCAAAAUUAGUCAUUUUUUAUUGUCACAUUAUUAUUUGUAUAUGUUUUGCAAUGCUCCUUCAUUGUAAACUGCUAAGCUGCUACAUUAAUCUUUGCAGUCACCUAUUAAUUUGGUUAUUAGUAAUUUUAUUUAAA